rnacentral:rRNA from 1 species
UACGUAGGGUGCAAGCGUUGUCCGGAAUUAUUGGGCGUAAAGAGCUCGUAGGCGGUUUGUUGCGUCGGCUGUGAAAUCCCGAGGCUCAACCUUGGGUCUGCAGUCGAUACGAGCAAACUAGAGUGUUGCAGGGGAGACUGGAAUUCCUGGUGUAGCGGUGAAAUGCGCAGAUAUCAGGAGGAACACCGGUGGCGAAGGCGGGUCUCUGGGCAACAACUGACGCUGGAGGAGCGAAAGCGUGGGGAGCGAACAGG